CCUGGCUCAGAAUGAACGCUGGCGGCGUGCUUAACACAUGCAAGUCGAACGGUAACAGGAACUAGCUUGCUAGUUUGCUGACGAGUGGCGCACGGGUGAGUAAUAUAUAGAUAAUGUGCCCCUUGGACCGGGAUAGCCAUUGGAAACGAUGAUUAAUACCGGAUACUCCUUCUUACCAAAAGGUAAGUCGGGAAAUGGAUUCCGCCAAGGGAUCGGUCUAUAUCCCAUCAGUUAGUUGGUAGUGUAAGAGACUACCAAGACGAUGACGGGUAGCGGGUUUGAGAGGAUGAUCCGCCACACUGGUACUGAGACACGGACCAGACUCCUACGGGAGGCAGCAGUGAGGAAUAUUGCACAAUGGGGGAAACCCUGAUGCAGCAACGCCGCGUGGAGGAUGACGCAUUUCGGUGUGUAAACUCCUUUUAUAUGUCAAGAAAAUGACGGUAGCAUAUGAAUAAGCACCGGCUAACUCCGUGCCAGCAGCCGCGGUAAUACGGAGGGUGCAAGCGUUAUUCGGAAUCACUGGGCGUAAAGGACGCGUAGGCGGGUUGGAAAGUCAGAUGUGAAAUCCUACAGCUUAACUGUAGAACUGCAUUUGAAACUUCCAAUCUAGAGUAUGGGAGGGGGAGAUGGAAUUAGUGGUGUAGGGGUAAAAUCCGUAGAUAUCACUAGGAAUACCGAAAGCGAAGGCGAUCUCCUGGAACAUAACUGACGCUAAGGCGUGAAAGCGUGGGGAGCAAACAGGAUUAGAUACCCUGGUAGUCCACGCCCUAAACGAUGUUCACUAGUCGUCGGGAUGCUAGUCAUCUCGGUGAUGCACUUAACAGAUUAAGUGAACCGCCUGGGGAGUACGGUCGCAAGAUUAAAACUCAAAGGAAUAGACGGGGACCCGCACAAGUGGUGGAGCAUGUGGUUUAAUUCGAAGAUACGCGAAGAACCUUACCUAGCCUUGACAUUGAGAGAACCUGCCAGAGAUGGCGGGGUGCCCUUCGGGGAGCUCGAAAACAGGUGCUGCACGGCUGUCGUCAGCUCGUGUCGUGAGAUGUUGGGUUAAGUCCCGCAAC
rnacentral:rRNA from 1 species